rnacentral:lncRNA from 10 species
CUGUGAUUCACAGGUGACAAGACAAGGAACUCUGUUGGUGAAAAUACAUGUGAACUAAAUUGCAGUGAACUGAACUGAACCAAACUGAAACGUGGACAGUAUCAGGUGAGGCUCAAAGGAAGGUGGAAGAUGUGGAAGAGUUUAGAAUGUGUGCCGUUCUCUUCAAGGGGGAAGGAGUAUGACUGUUAUGCCCAUAGAAGGGCUGGGAGAACAAGGGGCCCUCACCGUGUGGAAGGA